UUGCGGUUAAAAAGCUCGUAGUUGGAUUUCUGUUGAGGUCGGGCGGUGUACACUUCGUGUAUUAUUUGCUUCGGUCUCGGCAUCCUCUUGGGGAACGUCAGGACUCCAUUGGACUGGCGAGACUCAAGACUUUUACUUUGAGGAAAUUAGAGUGUUCACGGCAGGCAAGUGCUUUGAAUACAUUAGCAUGGAAUAAUAAUAUAGGACCUUCGUUCUAUUUUGUUGGUUUCUAGAACUUAGGUAAUGAUUAAUAGGGACAAUUGGGGGCAUUCGUAUUAACGCGUCAGAGGUGGAAUUCUUGGAUUGCGUUACGACGAACUACUGCGAAAGCAUUUGCCAAAGAUGUUUUCAUUGAUCAAGAACGAAAGUAUGGGGAUCGAAGACGCUUAGAUACCGUCGUAGUCUAUACCAUAAACUAUGCCAACUAGGGAUUGGACGGGUUAUCCUAUGUGGCUCGUUCAGCACCUUAUGAGAAAUCAAAGUUUUUGGGUUCCGGGGGGAGUAUGGUCGCAAGGCUGAAACUUAAAGGAAUUGACGGAAGGGCACCACCAGGAGUGGAGCCUGCGGCUUAAUUUGACUCAACACGGGAAAACUCACCAGGUCCAGACAUAGUAAGGAUUGACAGAUCGAUAGCUCUUUCU
rnacentral:rRNA from 1 species